CCGAGCGCCUCUUCCUGGACAAGUACGGGAGGAUCUAGUGUGUGCCUUGACAAGAUCGUUUGGCAGGUGAGCUUCCAGCUAUUUUUCUUGCCGUGUAGCAGUUAAACAUGCCUUUGCCAAUCCCCGGGGAGCACCGGCUUAUUUUGGUACUCCCAGACUCCCAGUGAUGGGAUGCAAACUGGUUAACCUACCGCUGUCGGAGCGGUAACACCAGCAUCUGUCCAGGUGGCUGGCCGAUGUGAAUUCUUUCAUCCUUCUUACUUUUCUGGUGUAUGUUGUCGUUGAUGAUGAAUAUUCUGAGCCGCUGUUCAUGUGACUCCCUUAUUGUUGAUGGUGCGUGCAGGGGUUGCUGGAGAACACGGAGAAGGACAGGGUCCGGAGGCUGAUCAGGCUCAAGCCCCCGGGGAGCCAUGAUUUUUUCACUUGAUGGAUCUUGUGUAUGUAUCCCUUUGUUAGAGUCUGGAUGGUACUACUAGUUACAAACACUUGACACUUGUGUGAUUCUUCUGUCCAUGGAUGUACUUUGUACAACAAGUUGAUGGGAAUGUAAUUUGGUAUAUGGUUUCAAUUUCAUUUCAUGGCAUGUGAUUUGUAAUGACCCAGUAAAAUUCACAUCCAUAAAUUGUC
rnacentral:lncRNA from 1 species